CGCUUUCAACUUUCUGGGUCGAAGUCUUCGUCUUCGUCAACUCCGAUCAACUCCGUCUUCGUCUUCCGGUGGUCUUCACGAUCAACUCCGUUCAAGUAAGCGACGUCAGAGCUCAUAUCAGAGCAGGUCUCCUCCUCCGUCUUCGUCUUUGUCUUCCUCCACUGCAGAGUCUUCUUCAGCAUCAAGAAUUUCAAGAGCACCACAUCAGUCCCCUCUGACCGAUCCUAUUGUUCUUCUCCUCAGCCAAUUUUGAACACGAUGCCAAGAGGGAGACCUCCUGUUAGUGGAAGUGGAAGUGGAAGUGCAAGUGUUAAUACCUCAAUUGGAGACGGUUUUGUUUGAAGACGAUGAGUUUGAAGAGGAAAACAUUGAGGAGGAUGAUGUUGUGGGAGUUUGAUGAAGUCAUUAGUUGAAGACAAUUGUUAUUUUACUUAUUUGUAUUUUAAUUUGACUAUAGAUCUUUUCUCAAAUCUUUGUUUAGUUUGGAUCUUUGUUUGGUUUGGAUUUGGAUUGAGUAUGUGAUGAAAUUUUAUGUUAUUUGUAUUGUAAUUUGUUUAUGUAUGCUUGUUUGGAUUUAGAUUGGUGUUUUGUUAUUAAG